rnacentral:rRNA from 1 species
AUUGAACGCUGGCGGCAUGCCUAACACAUGCAAGUCGAGCGGAUGAAGGGUGCUUGCUCCUGAAUUCAGCGGCGGACGGGUGAGUAAUGCCUAGGAAUCUGCCUCUUCGUGUGGGAUAACGUCCGGGAACGUGCGCUAAUACCCCAUACGUCCUGAGGGUGAGAGUGGGGGAUCUUCGGACCUUACGCUGUCAGAUGAGCCUAGGGCGGAUUAGCUAGUUGGUGGGGUAAUGGCCUACCAAGGCGACGAUCGGUAACUGGUCUGAGAGGAUGAUCAGUCACACUGGGACUGAGACACGGUCUAGAGACCGACGGGCGGCAGAAGUGGGGAAUAGUGGAAGAUGGGGGAAAGCCUGAUCCAGGCAUGCCGCGUGUGUGAAGAAGGUCUUCGGAUUGGAAAGCACUUUAAGUUGGGAGGAAGGGCAGUAAGUUAAUACAUUGCUGUUUUGACGGUACCAACAGAAGAAGCACCGGCUAACUUCGUG